rnacentral:rRNA from 1 species
UGCCAGCCGCCGCGGUAAUACGGAGGGGGUUAGCGUUGUUCGGAAUUACUGGGCGUAAAGCGCGCGUAGGCGGACUGUUAAGUUAGACGUGAAAGCCCCGGGCUCAACCUGGGAAUUGCGUUUAAUACUGGUGAGCUAGAGUACGAGAGAGGAAAGUGGAAUUCCUAGUGUAGAGGUGAAAUUCGUAGAUAUUAGGAAGAACACCAGUGGCGAAGGCGACUUUCUGGCUCGUAACUGACGCUGAGGCACGAAAGCGUGGGGAGCAAACAGGAUUAGAUA